GACGAACGCUGGCGGCGUGCUUAACACAUGCAAGUCGAACGGAAAGGCCCUGCUUUUGUGGGGUUCUCGAGUGGCGAACGGGGGUGUAACACGUGAGUAACCUGCCCUUGACUGUGGGAGAACUUCUGGAAACAGCGGCUAAUAUCGGAGAGGAGCUCCUGCUGCAUGUUGGGCGUUGGAAAGUUUCGGCGUUUGGGGCUCGACUAGCGGCUUAUGAGCUUGUUGGUGUGGUAGUGGCUUACCAAGGCUAUGACGGGUAGCCGGCCUGAGAGGGUGACCGGCCACAUUGCGACUGCGAUACGGCCCAGACUCGUACGGGAGGCAGUAGUGGGGAGUAUUGCAGAGUGGGCGGAAGCCUGAUGCAGCAGCGCCGCGUGCGGGAUGACGUCCUUCGAGUUGUAAACCGCUUUGGCCUGUGACGAAGCGUGAGUGACGGUAAUGGGUCAGGAAGCACCGGCUAACUACGUG
rnacentral:rRNA from 1 species